CCUACGGGAGGCUGCAGUGGGGAAUAUUGGACAAUGGGGGAAACCCUGAUCCAGCAAUGCCGCGUGUGUGAAGAAGGCCUGCGGGUUGUAAAGCACUUUCGGUUGGGAAGAAAAGUUUGGCGCCAAUACCGCCGAACCUUGACGUUACUGCCAGAAGAAGCACCGGCUAACUCUGUGCCAGCCGCCGCGGUAAUACAGAGGGGACAAGCGUUACUCGGAAUCACUGGGCGUAAAGAGGGAGUAGGUGUGUGAAAUCCCCGGGCUUAACCUGGGAACUGCAUUCGAUACUACAUGGCUAGAGUAUGGUAGAGGGAAGUGGAAUGUCCGGUGUAGCGGUGAAAUGCGUAGAUAUCGGAAGGAACACCAAUGGCGAAGGCAGCUUCCUGGACUAAUACUGACACUGAGGCACGAAAGCGUGGGUAGCAAACAGGAUUAGAUACCCGUGUAGUC
rnacentral:rRNA from 1 species